rnacentral:rRNA from 1 species
CGCUGGCGGCACGCCUUAUACAUGCAAGUCGAACGCAGUAGCAAUACUGAGUGGCAAACGGGUGAGUAUAAUGUGGGUAUCUGCCUUUUGGUUUGGAAUAACAUGAGGAAACUUGUGCUAAUACCGGAUAAGCCUUCACAGGGAAAGUUUUAUACGCCGAAAGAUGAGCCCGCACUUGAUUAGUUUGUUGGUGAGGUAAUGGCUCACCAAGACAAUUAUCAAUAGCUGGUCUGAGAGGACGAUCAGCCACAUUGGGACUGAGACACGGCCCAGACUCCUACGGGAGGCAGCAGUAAGGAAUCUUGCACAAUGGGGGAAACCCUGAUGCAGCGAUGCCGCGUGAGUGAAGAAGGCCCUUGGGUUGUAAAACUCUUUCGUCGGGGAAGAAAAUGACUGUACCCGAAUAAGAAGGUCCGGCUAACUUCGUGCCAGCAGCCGCGGUAAUACGAAGGGACCUAGCGUAGUUCGGAAUUACUGGGCUUAAAGAGCUCGUAGGUGGUUAAAAAAGUUGAUGGUGAAAUCCCAAGGCUCAACCUUGGAACUGCCAUCAAAACUUUUUAGCUAGAGUGUGAUAGAGGAAAGUGGAAUUUCUAGUGUAGAGGUGAAAUUCGUAGAUAUUAGAAAGAACACCAAAUGCGAAGGCAACUUUCUGGGUCACUACUGACACUGAGGAGCGAAAGCAUGGGUAGCGAAGAGGAUUAGAUACCCUCGUAGUCCAUGCCGUAAACGAUGUGUGCUAGACGUUGGAAAUAUAUUUUUCAGUGUCGCAGCGAAAGCAUUAAGCACACCGCCUGGGGAG